GACGAACGCUGGCGGCGUGCCUAAUACAUGCAAGUAGAACGCACAGUUUAUACCGUAGCUUGCUACACCAUAGACUGUGAGUUGCGAACGGGUGAGUAACGCGUAGGUAACCUGCCUGGUAGCGGGGGAUAACUAUUGGAAACGAUAGCUAAUACCGCAUAAUAUUAAUUAUUGCAUGAUAAUUAAUUGAAAGGUGCAAUUGCACCACUACCAGAUGGACCUGCGUUGUAUUAGCUAGUAGGUGAGGUAACGGCUCACCUAGGCGACGAUACAUAGCCGACCUGAGAGGGUGAUCGGCCACACUGGGACUGAGACACGGCCCAGACUCCUACGGGAGGCAACAGUAGGGAAUCUUCGGCAAUGGACGAAAGUCUGACCGAGCAACGCCGCGGGAGUGAAGAAGGUUUUCGGAUCGUAAAGCUCUGUUGUAAGAGAAGAACGGGUGUGAGAGUGGAAAGUUCACACUGUGACGGUAUCUUACCAGAAAGGGACGGCUAACUACGUG
rnacentral:rRNA from 1 species